rnacentral:rRNA from 1 species
AUUGAACGCUGGCGGCAGGCCUAACACAUGCAAGUCGAGCGGAGCGGCGGACGGGUGAGUAAUGCCUAGGAAUCAGCCUGGUAGUGGGGGAUAACGUCCGGAAACGGGCGCUAAUACCGCAUACUAUCAGAUGAGCCUAGGUCGGAUUGGAUAGUUGGUGGGGUAAAGGACUACCAAGGCGACGAGCCGUACCUGGUCUGAGAGGAUGAUCAGUCACACGUGAACUGAGACACGGGCAAGACUCCUACGGGAGGCAGCAGUGGGGAAUAUUGGACAAUGGGCGAAAGCCUGAUCCAGCCAUGCCGCGUGUGUGAAGAAGGUCUUCGGAUUGUAAAGCACUUUAAGUAGGGAGGCGUUACCAACAGAAUAAGCACCGGCUAACUUCGUGCCAGCAGCCGCGGUAAUAC